rnacentral:rRNA from 1 species
AGAGUUUGAUCCUGGCUCAGAAUCAACGCUGGCGGCGUGCCUAACACAUGCAAGUCGCACGAGAAAGUGGAGCAAUCCAUGAGUAAAGUGGCGCACGGGUGAGUAACACGUGAAUCAUCUACCUUCGAGUGGGGAAUAACUGGAAGAAAUUUCAGCUAAUACCGCAUAAUACCUACGGGUCAAAGCAGCAAUGCGCUUGA